rnacentral:rRNA from 1 species
GACGAACGCUGGCGGCGUGCUUAACACAUGCAAGUCGAGCGGUAAGGCCCUUUCGGGGUACGACGAGCGGCGAACGGGUGAGUAACACGUGGGUGGACCUGCCUUUAGUCUCUGGGAGUAAGACCUGGGAAACGUAGGGUCGUAAUACCGGAUAUGACCCUAUGGCGCAUGUUGUGGGGUGGGAAAGCCUUGUGCGGCUAGGGA